GACGAACGCUGGCGGCGUGCCUAAUACAUGCAAGUAGAACGCUGAAGGGAGAGCUUGCUCUUCUGGAUGAGUUGCGAACGGGUGAGUAACGCGUAGGUAACCUGCCUGGUAGCGGGGGAUAACUAUUGGAAACGAUAGCUAAUACCGCAUAACAUUGACUAUUGCAUGAUAGUUAAUUGAAAGGUGCAAAUGCACCACUACCAGAUGGACCUGCGUUGUAUUAGCUAGUUGGUGGGGUAACGGCUCACCAAGGCGACGAUACAUAGCCGACCUGAGAGGGUGAUCGGCCACACUGGGACUGAGACACGGCCCAGACUCCUACGGGAGGCAGCAGUAGGGAAUCUUCGGCAAUGGACGGAAGUCUGACCGAGCAACGCCGCGUGAGUGAAGAAGGUUUUCGGAUCGUAAAGCUCUGUUGUAAGAGAAGAACGAGUGUGAGGGUGGAAAGUUCACACUGUG
rnacentral:rRNA from 1 species